AUUGAACGCUGGCGGAAUGCUUUACACAUGCAAGUCGAGCGGCAGCGCGGGGCAACCUGGCGGCGAGCGGCGAACGGGUGAGUAAUGCAUCGGAACAUGUCCAUUCGUGGGGGAUAGCCCGGCGAAAGCCGGAUUAAUACCGCAUACGCCCGAGAGGGGAAAGUGGGGGACCGCAAGGCCUCACGCGAUUGGGUUGGCCGAUGUCCGAUUAGCUAGUUGGCGGGGUAAGAGCCCACCAAGGCGAUGAUCGGUAGCUGGUCUGAGAGGAUGAUCAGCCACACUGGGACUGAGACACGGCCCAGACUCCUACGGGAGGCAGCAGUGGGGAAUUUUGGACAAUGGGGGAAACCCUGAUCCAGCCAUUCCGCGUGAGUGAAGAAGGCCU
rnacentral:rRNA from 1 species